GACGUAGGGGGCGAGCGUUGUCCGGAUUUAUUGGGCGUAAAGCGUGCGUAGGCGGCUGCGCAAGUCGGGUGUGAAACCCCGGGGCUCAACCCCGGAACUGCAUCCGAUACUGCGUGGCUAGAGGUAGGUAGGGGAGAUCGGAAUUCCUGGUGUAGCGGUGAAAUGCGUAGAGAUGCGGAGGAACACCAGUGGCGAAAGCGGCCCGCUGGCCCGCUCCUGACGCUCAGACGCGAAAGCUCGGGGAGCGAACGGG
rnacentral:rRNA from 1 species